rnacentral:rRNA from 1 species
CGGAGGGAUCAUUACAGAGCUGCAAAACUCCCUAAACCAUCGUGAACGCUACCUAAACCGUUGCUUCGGCGGGCGGCGCCCUCGCGCGCCCCCCCUGGGGCCCGCACCGCGGGCGCCCGCCGGAGGUACACCAAACUCUUGAUAUGUUAUGGCCACUCUGAGUCUCCUGUACUGAAUAAGUCAAAACUUUCAACAACGGAUCUCUUGGUUCUGGCAUCGAUGAAAAACGCAGCGAAAUGCGAUAAGUAAUGUGAAUUGCAGAAUUCAGUGAAUCAUCGAAUCUUUGAACGCACAUUGCGCCCGCCAGCAUCCUGGCGGGCAUGCCUGUUCGAGCGUCAUUUCAACCCAUCAAGCCCACGGCUUGUGUUGGGGACCUGCGGCUGCCCGCAGGCCCUGAAAACCAGUGGCGGGCUCGCUAGUCACACCGGGCGUAGUAGCAUACGACCUCGCUCAGGGCGUGCUGCGGGUUCCAGCCGUAAAACGACCUUCACAACCCAAGGUUGACCUCGGAUCAGGUAGGAGGACCCGCUGAACUUAAGCAUAUCAAUAAGACGGAGGAA